rnacentral:rRNA from 1 species
AUUGAACGCUGGCGGCAGGCCUAACACAUGCAAGUCGAGCGAGCGGCGGACGGGUGAGUAAUGUAUGGGGACUGCCCGAUAGAGGGGGAUAACUACUGGAAACGGUGGCUAAUACCGCAUACUAUCGGAUAACCCAUAUGGGAUUAGCUAGUAGGUGGGGUAAAGGCUCACCUAGGCGACGAUCUCUAGCUGGUCUGAGAGGAUGAUCACCACCACUGGGACUGGGACAGGGCCCAGACUCCUCCGGAGGCAGCGGUGGGGAUUAUGGCACAAUGGGCGCAACCCUGAUGCAGCCAUGCCGGGGGUAUGAAGAAGUCCUUAGGGUUGUAAAGUACUUUCAGCGGGGAGGCGUUACCCGCAGAAGAAGCACCGGCUAACUCCGUGCCAGCAGCCGCGGUAAUA